rnacentral:rRNA from 1 species
UACAGAGGUCUCAAGCGUUGUUCGGAUUCAUUGGGCGUAAAGGGUGUGUAGGUGGCGCGCUAAGUCGGGUGUGAAAUUUCGGAGCUUAACUCCGAAACUGCAUUCGAUACUGGCGUGCUUGAGGACUGGAGAGGAGACUGGAAUUCAUGGUGUAGCAGUGAAAUGCGUAGAGAUCAUGAGGAAGACCAGUGGCGAAGGCGGGUCUCUGGACAGUUCCUGACACUGAGACACGAAGGCCCAGGGGAGCAAACGGGG